rnacentral:misc_RNA from 1 species
GAUGAAGAACGUAGCGAAAUGCGAUAAGUAGUGUGAAUUGCAGAAUUCCGUGAAUCAUCGAAUCUUUGAACGCACAUUGCGCCCGCCAGCACUCUGGCGGGCAUGCCUGUUCGAGCGUCAUUUCAACCAUCAAGCCCCCAGGGGCUUGUGCUGGGGCCCUGCGGCUGCCCGCAGGCCCUGAAAACCAGUGGCGGGCUCGCUAGUCACACCGAGCGCAGUAGCACAUCUCGCUCAGGGCGUGCGGCGGGCUCCUGCCGUGAAACCCCCCACUGUAACCCCAAAGGUUGACCUCGGAUCAGGUAGGAAUACCCGCUGAACUUAAGCAUAUCAAUAAGCGGAGGA